rnacentral:lncRNA from 1 species
AGCCUGAGUACGAGGUAUUAGAAGAGAUCGAGGAGUCAUGAUAAAAUCUUAAGAGAUUUAGAUUGAGAUGAUAGACCUUCAUAAGUUGAGGAUCCAAAUGACUUAACUAGAAAGAUAAAUUGUUGAAUAAGGAGAAAAGUUCUUGAUUCAAGAAGAUCUAAACCAUUUUCCACAUGAUUGAUUCUCGAAAGUCAGAAAACACGUACACUAAAUGUUUGGUGCUCAAUUAUUUUAGAAGAAUAUAAACAUAGACAUGAUAUUAAGGCCAUAUAGAAGCAAUUAAGCGUCAUAAAGACCCAUUUGACGAUUAUAAGCAAACCAUAUUCCUACAAUAGUUUCCCAAAUAAAGUCAAAUGAUAUCCUUGAACUUUCAGGAUAAGAAUAGACAAGUAUUAUUGGAGAAUAUAACCAAAGAUGUCAUGCACUAACCCAACAGAAGAAUGUGUAUGCCAAUUGAGAAUUGCGUUGAAUAAGAUGACACACUUAAAACCGAAAGAACAAAUCUUUAGCCAUUAUGUCAACCUGAUAAGAAAGAUAGACUCUGAGAAACAUGUUUGGAUAAUAGAUAGAUAAAAGAUAACUG